CAGAGGUCUCAAGCGUUGUUCGGAUUCAUUGGGCGUAAGGGAGCGUAGGUGGCGAAGUAAGUCGGAUGUGAAAUCCCGGGGCUCAACCUCGGAACUGCAUUCGAUACUGCCUUGCUAGAGUACUGGAGAGGAGAUCGGAAUUUACGGUGUAGCAGUGAAAUGCGUAGAUAUCGUAAGGAAGACCAGUGGCGAAGGCGGAUCUCUGGACAGUUACUGACACUGAGGCUCGAAGGCCAGGGGAGCAAACGGGAUUAGAUACCCCGGUAGUCCCGGCAGUAAACGGUGCACGUUUGGUGUGGGAGGAUUCGACCCCUUCCGUGCCGGAGCUAACGCGUGAAGUUGGCCGCCUGGGGGAGUACGGCCGCAAGGUUA
rnacentral:rRNA from 1 species